AACGAACGCUGGCGGCAUGCCUAACACAUGCAAGUCGAACGAGACCUUCGGGUCUAGUGGCGCACGGGUGCGUAACGCGUGGGAACCUGCCCUUAGGUUCGGAAUAACUCCCCGAAAGGGGUGCUAAUACCGGAUAAUGUCUUCGGACCAAAGAUUUAUCGCCUUUGGAUGGGCCCGCGUUGGAUUAGCUAGUUGGUAGGGUAAAAGCCUACUAAGGCGACGAUCCAUAGCUGGUCUGAGAGGAUGAUCAGCCACACUGGGACUGAGGCACGGCCCAGACUCCUACGGGAGGCAGCAGUGGGGAAUAUUGGACAAUGGGCGAAAGCCUGAUCCAGCAAUGCCGCGUGAGUGAUGAAGGCCUUAGGGUUGUAAAGCUCUUUUACCCGGGAUGAUAAUGACAGUACCGGGAGAAUAAGCUCCGGCUAACUCCGUG
rnacentral:rRNA from 1 species